GAAAGCUGGCGUCUUCGGCGUCCGCAUUGUAAUCUCAAGAAGUGUUUUCCGCUUCGGACCAUGCCUAAGUCCCUUGGAAAAGGGCAUCAUAGAGGGUGAUAAUCCCGUACAUGGCAUGGAGCGCCCGAGGCUUUGUGAUACGCUUUCUAAGAGUCGAGUUGUUUGGGAAUGCAGCUCAAAAUGGGUGGUAAAUGCCAUCUAAGGCUAAAUAUUGGGGAGAGACCGAUAGCGAACAAGUACAGUGAUGGAAAGAUGAAAAGAACUUUGAAAAGAGAGUUAAACAGUACGUGAAAUUGCCAAAAGGGAAGGGUAGGAGGUCAGAGAUGCGUCUUGGGAUUCAGCCUUGCUUUUGCUUGGUGUUUUUCCCAAGUUGCAGGCCAACGUCGGUUUUGGGCACUGGAGAAGGGUGGAAGGAACGUGGCACCUCUCGGGGUGUGUUAUAGCCUUCUACUGGAUACAGCGACCGAGACCGAGGACAGCAGCGUACUCGCAAGAGCGGGCCUUCGGGCACCUUUACGCUUAGGGCGUUGGCAUAAUGGCCCUCUACCACCCGUCUUGAAACACGGACCA
rnacentral:rRNA from 1 species